UACGGAGGGUCCAAGCGUUAUCCGGAAUCAUUGGGUUUAAAGGGUCCGUAGGCGGUUUAGUAAGUCAGUGGUGAAAGCCCAUCGCUCAACGGUGGAACGGCCAUUGAUACUGCUAAACUUGAAUUAUUAGGAAGUAACUAGAAUAUGUAGUGUAGCGGUGAAAUGCUUAGAGAUUACAUGGAAUACCAAUUGCGAAGGCAGGUUACUACUAAUGGAUUGACGCUGAUGGACGGAAGCGUGGGUAGCGAACAGG
rnacentral:rRNA from 1 species